AUUGAACGCUGGCGGCAGGCCUAACACAUGCAAGUCGAGCGAGCGGCGGACGGGUGAGUACUGUCUGGGAAACUGCCUGAUGGAGGGGGAUAACUACUGGAAACGGUAGCUAAUACCGCAUACCAUCAGAUGUGCCCCGAUGGGAUUAGCUAGUCGGUGGGGUAACGGCUCACCUAGGCGACGCUCCCUAGCUGGUCUGAGAGGAUGACCAGCCACACUGGAUAUGAGACACGGUCCAGACUCCUACGGGAGGCAGCAGUGGGGAAUAUUGCACAAUGGGCGCAAGCCUGAUGCAGCCAUGCCGCGGGUGUGAAGAAGGCCUUCGGGUUGUAAAGCACUUUCAGCGGGGAGGCGUUACCCGCAGAAGAAGCACCGGCUAACUCCGUGCCAGCAGCCGCGGUAAUUC
rnacentral:rRNA from 1 species